rnacentral:rRNA from 1 species
UACGAAGGGGGCUAGCGUUGUUCGGAAUUACUGGGCGUCAAGCGCACGUAGGCGGAUACUUAAGUCAGGGGUGAAAUCCCGGGGCUCAACCCCGGAACUGCCUUUGAUACUGGGUAUCUCGAGUCCGGAAGAGGUGAGUGGAAUUCCGAGUGUAGAGGUGAAAUUCGUAGAUAUUCGGAGGAACACCAGUGGCGAAGGCGGCUCACUGGUCCGGUACUGACGCUGAGGUGCGAAAGCGUGGGGAGCAAACAGG